AUUGAACGCUGGCGGCAUGCCUUACACAUGCAAGUCGAACGGCAACAGGUCUUCGGAUGCUGACGAGUGGCGAACGGGUGAGUAAUACAUCGGAACGUGCCUAGUAGUGGGGGAUAACUACUCGAAAGAGUGGCUAAUACCGCAUGAGAUCUACGGAUGAAAGCAGGGGAUCGCAAGACCUUGUGCUACUAGAGCGGCCGAUGGCAGAUUAGGUAGUUGGUGGGAUAAAAGCUUACCAAGCCGACGAUCUGUAGCUGGUCUGAGAGGACGAUCAGCCACACUGGGACUGAGACACGGCCCAGACCCCUACGGGAGGCAGCAGUGGGGAAUUUUGGACAAUGGGCGCAAGCCUGAUCCAGCAAUGCCGCGUGCAGGAUGAAGGCCUUCGGGUUGUAAACUGCUUUUGUACGGAACGAAAAGCCCUGGGUUAAUACCCUGGGGUCAUGACGGUACCGUAAGAAUAAGCACCGGCUAACUUCGUGCCAGCCGCCGCGGUAAGAC
rnacentral:rRNA from 1 species